rnacentral:rRNA from 1 species
UACGAAGGGGGCUAGCGUUGCUCGGAAUCACUGGGCGUAAAGCGCACGUAGGCGGAUUGCUAAGUCAGGGGUGAAAUCCUGGAGCUCAACUCCAGAACUGCCUUUGAUACUGGCGAUCUUGAGUCCGGAAGAGGUGAGUGGAACUGCGAGUGUAGAGGUGAAAUUCGUAGAUAUUCGCAAGAACACCAGUGGCGAAGGCGGCUCACUGGCCCGGUACUGACGCUGAGGUGCGAAAGCGUGGGGAGCAAACAGG